AGGAUAAUAGUUAACUAUAAUAUUUGGGUUGCAUUCAAAAGGUGUUGAAAAUUCAACUUAUCUUA
rnacentral:tRNA from 1 species